GUGACGAGUUUGAUCAUGGCUCAGGAUGAACGCUAGGUCGGCGUGCCUAACACAUGCAAGUCGAGCGAUUCUCUUCGGAGAAGAGCGGCGGACGGGUGAGUAACGCGUGGGUAACCUGCCCUGUACACACGGAUAACAUACCGAAAGGUAUGCUAAUACGAGAUAAUAUACUUUUAUCACAUGGUAGAAGUAUCAAAGCUUUUGCGGUACAGGAUGGACCCGCGUCUGAUUCGCUAGUUGGUAAGGUAACGGCUUACCAAGGCGACGAUCAGUAGCCGACCUGAGAGGGUGAUCGGCCACAUUGGAACUGAGACACGGUCCAAACUCCUACGGGAGGCAGCAGUGGGGAAUAUUGCACAAUGGGCGAAAGCCUGAUGCAGCAACGCCGCGUGAGUGAUGAAGGCCUUCGGGUCGUAAAGCUCUGUCCUCAAGGAAGAUAAUGACGGUACUUGAGGAGGAAGCCCCGGCUAACUACGUG
rnacentral:rRNA from 1 species